CCAUCAAAGAAAACUCUGAGAGCGGGGCUCUUACUGUGAAAGACUUGCAGCUUGAGGACAGCGCUGUGUACUUCUGUGCCGUCAGUAAACACAGUGAUGUGACAAGUCUGAGCAGCUGAACAAUAACUGGUUGCCAACACAUUUGACAGGAGGACAACAUGCCAACAUUAUUCCUUUUGUCUUGGCUCAUUGGAGUUUGUCUGGGUGAUGAAGUCUACCAAACUCCUCCAGAACUUCUCAGAAGACCUGGAGACAAAGUCGAGCUGGUCUGCAGCCAUGAAAGGACCGACUACACAGUCAUGCAGUGGUACCAGAAAUCUGCUGGAGACCGAGCUCUGAAACGCAUUGGACAUGUGUAUUACAGCAACAUAGAGCAGGAGAAGUCUUUCAAAGAGCAUUUUAACAUCACUGGAGAUAUGAGUGGAGACGGAGCAAAGAACGGCUCUCUGGUUAUAUACAACCUGAAGGCCCCUGAGCACAGUGCGGUGUACUACUGUGCAGCUAGCAGGGCACACUGACUGAACAUCCCCUCU